rnacentral:sRNA from 2 species
CACGAAGAAACGCAGACUAAGAUCGCCACGUCCUGUGGCAACGUCUGCAUGGCGCGCAUCCC